UUAUAUAAGUUAUCGUUUAUUUGAUAGUACUUUACUACUUGGAUAACCGUGGUAAUUCUAGAGCUAAUACAUGCUAAAAAUCCCGACUUCGGAAGGGAUGUAUUUAUUAGAUUAAAAACCAAUGCCCUUUGGGCUCCUUGGUGAAUCAUGAUAACUUCUCGAAUCGCAUGGCCUUGCGCCGGCGAUGGUUCAUUCAAAUUUCUUCCCUAUCAACUUUCGAUGUUUGGGUAUUGGCCAAACAUGGUCGCAACGGGUAACGGAGGGUUAGGGCUCGACCCCGGAGAAGGAGCCUGAGAAACGGCUACUACAUCCAAGGAAGGCAGCAGGCGCGCAAAUUACCCAAUCCCGACUCGGGGAGGUAGUGACAAUAAAUACUGAUACGAGGCUCUUUUGGGCCUUGUAAUUGGAAUGAGUACAAUUUAAAUCUCUUAACGAGGAACAAUUGGAGGGCAAGUCUGGUGCCAGCAGCCGCGGUAAUUCCAGCUCCAAUAGCGUAUAUUAAAGUUGUUGUGGUUAAAAAGCUCGUAGUUGAACCUUGGGCCUGGCUGGCCGGUCCGCCUCACCGCGUGUACUGGUCCGGCCGGGCCUUUCCCUCUGUGGAACCUCAUGCCCUUCACUGGGUGUGACGGGGAAGCAGGACUUUUACUGUGAAAAAAUUAGAGUGCUCCAAGCAGGCCUAUGCUCGAAUACAUUAGCAUGGAAUAAUAAAAUAGGACGUGCGGUUCUAUUUUGUUGGUUUCUAGGACCGCCGUAAUGAUUAAUAGGGACAGUCGGGGGCAUCAGUAUUCAAUUGUCAGAGGUGAAAUUCUUGGAUUUAUUGAAGACUAACUACUGCGAAAGCAUUUGCCAAGGAUGUUUUCAUUAAUCAGGAACGAAAGUUAGGGGAUCGAAGACGAUCAGAUACCGUCGUAGUCUUAACCAUAAACUAUGCCGACUAGGGAUCGGACGAUGUUAUUUUU
rnacentral:rRNA from 2 species